rnacentral:misc_RNA from 1 species
ACAUUAUUAUGAUUAUCGUCGCGUUGUCGACGUACAUAAUAUGCAGUACGCGCUUAUUAAUCUAGUAAAUUGGUAUGUUUGGUUACAAAUUUAUCAAUUUCUUCCUCGAAGGCUUUGAAGAAUGUCUGAUCCCAACUAUACACCCGGUGGGUCUUCUCCCACUGGAGGGGUUACCAUUAGUGGGGAGGCUAACAUGAUGCUCCAACAGUUCUGGCCAAAGACCAUCAGCAACAUAAGAUCUCUGAAACAGGAUGACUUUAAGCAACAAGAACUACCGUUGGCAAGAAUUAAAAAGAUAAUGAAACUUGAUGAAGAUGUGAAGGUUUGUACACAUCUUUUAUGUAUGUCAAUGUUUUUGAAAGCUUUCUUUAGAAUUCAGUAACCAAGCUUUUAUUUAUGAUAAUACAUACUUUUAUUUAUGAUAAUACAUAUACAUGUGCAUAUGCUCAUAUUACCAUUUUAUAAAUAAAAAUUCACAGAUUUUCUAUAUUCAGUAACCUAUCAUUUUAUUCAUAUUGUUUAUCUUUGAAAAUGGAUUUCAGGAUUUGUAACGUUUUAACAGCUGUAAUUGGAUUUUUAAUUGAUACUGUACAAUGUGAUUGUGAUUUCAGAUGAUCAGUGCAGAAGCUCCUGUAUUGUUUGCUAAGGCUGCAGAGAUUUUCAUUAGUGAGCUCUCACUUCGUGCCUGGAUCCACACAGAAGAUAACAAGAGAAGAACACUACAGAGAAAUGAUAUUGCCAUGGCAAUUACAAAGUUUGACCAGUUUGAUUUCCUCAUUGACAUAGUUCCUAGAGAUGAACUCAAGCCUGCAAAAAGACAAGAUGAUUCUACAAGAAAUACCUCAAUGCUGCCAGAUCAAAUACAGUAUUACCUACAACUUGCCAAUCAACAAGCUCAGCAACAGCAACAACAACAACAGCAGCAACAACAACAACAGCAACAACAACAGACACAAGUGCAGCAGACACCCCCACAGCAAAUUGUGCAACAGGCACAACCUGUCCAGACUCAAAUAACACAACAGCAACCUCAGACAACACAGAUACAGCUUCCUGGGGGACAGAUUAUACAACAACCUUUCCAGAUCCAUCAAGCUGCCUCAGCUCAGAGCUCUGUGGUAGCACAGCCUCAGGUGAUCCAGAUACAAGCCCCUCAUCAACAAACAAUACAGACAAGCCAAGCUCCAGUGCAACAAGUUCAAAUUCAACAACCUCAGCAACAGACACAAGUUUAUCAACAAGUCGUUACUCCAGCCGGAGUCCAAAACGUCCCUGUAAGUUUACUCUAUCCAAGGAGGUACUGAUUAGUUUUGUAGAUUUAUGGUCAGAGCAGGUCCCAUACUGCCAAACAAGUUCCUGGUACACAGAAGCUUGACUCCAAAGAUCACAGCAUAUCUGAUCAUUCACUGACAAAGGAAUAAAAUUGAGGAAGAGAACAAUUUCCUCACAUUGUUUGAUAUGGUGCAUAUAAAAAUAUCAAAACAUCUUGUAGAAAUCUUGGAUAUCAAACAUACAAGAAAUACUGUCUACUUAGAGUCAUUUUAACAAGAGCUUGGACUUUCAGUGGGAUGUAACUAUCUAGUUUGCUCAAAACAUGCUGUCAAAUAUUGAGAACCUUCUCUCUGAUUUGCCAAGAGAAGCUCUUCAAUACCGAUAUUCAUAGACUGUCAAAAUCUUAAUUUUUUUUUCAAGAUAUGCUCUGUUGUGUGAAAUUGAUGCUGAAAUUGAAAUAUACAGUCUGUGAUGAAGGCGGACAGGUGUCAUAGUGUUCAACAAAUUCAUAUCUAUCAGCCAAUGACUGGACAGUUAACUAUGAGUAGACCCUGCCUUAAUCAGAUAGGAGUUUGACAAGUACUGCUCAAAGUCCAUGCUCUUAUUAAAACAGCUCUAAAUCUUUCUUGUGCUUAAGAAUAGAAAACAGAUGCUUGGUUGUUUGGCUUUUGUCAAAGCAGAUAGUACCAUACAAGUAGAUGACUAGAUUCCAUAUUUAGCCUUCGAGCAGGAUGAAGUUUACAUAUACAGUCAAACCUUAUAAUCUGGAACUUAGUGAGGUUGGAUAAAAAAUGAAAAUAAGUAUUAAAAAACAGUGGGAGGGACUACCAACUCACUUUGACAAAUCAGUUGUCGCUAACAGAUGAAUUUGUGAUAAAAGGUGUGUUAAUAAAGUAUAAACUUUUAAAAUUGAUUUAAUAACACAUACAAUUUUAAGACAAACUUGUUGUGUUCAUUUCCACAGAAUUCGAGAAAACUAUUGCUAUUUUAUUAUAACGUAGUAUACAUUGAGUCACAACAACAAUGAAGAUGUGUAUUUAAUCUGGAUUUGACAAGAAUUAUAAUUAAGUUGUUUAUAGCACUAUACUUGAUGAUUUUUUUCUCAGCUACAUGUACAUGUCUUUUGUCUACAAGAGCUUGAGUUUAAUGCAGAUAUAGAAACACAUUGUACUGUACAAGAGAAUGCAAAAUAAAAAUAAAAAUC